rnacentral:rRNA from 1 species
UACGUAGGGUCCGAGCGUUGUCCGGAAUUACUGGGCGUAAAGAGCUCGUAGGUGGUUUGUCGCGUUGUUCGUGAAAACUCACAGCUUAACUGUGGGCGUGCGGGCGAUACGGGCAGACUUGAGUACUGCAGGGGAGACUGGAAUUCCUGGUGUAGCGGUGGAAUGCGCAGAUAUCAGGAGGAACACCGGUGGCGAAGGCGGGUCUCUGGGCAGUAACUGACGCUGGAGGAGCGAAAAGCCGUGGGGAGCGAACAGG